rnacentral:lncRNA from 1 species
AUGGAAAAGAAAUGCAAAAAAGCAAAAUGGCUGUCUGGGGAGGCCUUACAAAUAGCUGUGAAAAGAAGAGAGGCGAAAAGCAAAGGAGAAAAGGAAAGAUAUAAGCAUCUGAAUGCAGAGUUCCAAAGAAUAGCAAGAAGAGAUAAGAAAGCCUUCUUCAGUGAUCAAUGCAAAGAAAUAGAGGAAAACAACAGAAUGGGAAAGACUAGAGAUCUCUUCAAGAAAAUUAGAGAUACCAAGGGAACAUUUCAUGCAAAGAUGGGCUUGAUAAAGGACAGAAAUGGUAUGGACCUAACAGAAGCAGAAGAUAUUAAGAAGAGGUGGCAAGAAUACACGGAAGAACUGUACAAAAAAGAUCUUCACGACCCAGAUAAUCAUGAUGAUGUGAUAACUAAUCUAGAGCCAGACAUUUUGGAAUGUGAAAUCAAGUGGGCCUUAGGAAGCAUCACUAUGAACAAAGCUAGUGGAGGUGAUGGAAUUCCAGUUGAGCUGUUUCAAAUCCUUAAAGAUGAUGCUGUGAAAGUGCUGCACUCAGUACGCCAACAAAUUUGGAAAACUCAGCAGUGGCCACAGGACUGGAAAAGGUCAGUUUUCAUUCCAAUCCCAAAGAAAGGCAAUGCCAAAGAAUGCUCAAACUACCGCACAAUUGCACUCAUCUCAUAUGCUAGUAAAGUAAUGCUCAAAAUUCUCCAAGCCAGGCUUCAGCAAUAUGUGAACCGUGAACUCUCUGAUGUUCAAGCUAGUUUUAGAAAAGGCAGAGGAACCAGAGAUCAAAUUGCCAACAUCCGCUGGAUCAUGGAAAAAGCAAGAGAGUUCCAGAAAAACAUCUAUUUCUGCUUUAUUGACUAUGCCAAAGCCUUUGACUGUGUGGAUCACAAUAAACUGUGGAAAAAUCUGGAAGAGAUGGGAAUACCAGACCACCUGACCUGCCUCUUGAGAAAUUUGUAUGCAGGCCAGGAGGCAACAGUUAGAACUGGACAUGGAACAACAGACUGGUUCCAAAUAGGAAAAGUAGUAUGUCAAGGCUGUAUAUUGUCACCCUGCUUAUUGAACUUCUAUGCAGAGUACAUCAUGAGAAACACUGGACUGGAAGAAUCACAAGCUGGAAUCAAGAUUGGUGGGAGAAAUCUCAAUAACCUCAGAUAUGCAGAUGACACCACCCUUAGGGCAGAAAGUGAAGAGGAGCUAAAAAGCCUCUUGAUGAAAGUGAAAGAGGAGAGUGAAAAAGUUGGCUUAAAGCUCAACAUUCAGAAAACGAAGAUCAUGGCAUCUGGUCCCAUCACUUCAUGGCAAAUAGAUGGGGAAACAGUGGAAACAGUGUCAGACUUUAUUUUUUUGGCCUCCAAAAUCACCGCAGAUGGUGACUGCAGCCAUGAAAUUAAAAGACGCUUACUCCUUGGAAGAAAAGUUAUGACCAACCUAGAUAGCAUAUUCAAAAGCAGAGACAUUACUUUGCUGACUAAGGUCCGCCUAGUCAAGGCUAUGGUUUUUCCAGUAUUCAUGUAUGGAUGUGAGAGUUGGACUGUGAAGAAGGCUGAGUGCCGAAGAAUUGAUGCUUUUGAACUGUGGUGUUGGAGAAGACUCUUGAGAGUCCCUUGGAUUGCAAGGAGAUCCAACCAGUCCAUUCUGAAGGAGAUCAGCCCUGGGAUUUCUUUGGAAGGAAUGAUGCUGAAGCUGAAGCUCCAGUACUUUGGCCACCUCAUGAGAAGAGUUGACUCAUUGGAAAAGACUGUGAUGCUGGGAGGGAUUGGGGGCAGGAGGAGAAGGGGACGACCGAGGAUGAGAUGGCUGGAUGGCAUCACAGACUCGAUGGACGUGAGUCUGAGUGAACUCCAGGAGAUGGUGAUGGACAGGGAGGCAUGGUGUGCUGCAAUUCAUGGGGUCGCAAAGAGUCAAACACGACUGAGCGACUGA